UUGGGCCAUGUUUCUUUGUCUCUUCAAUUUGGCAGCCUCCCUGUGUUUGUUUCUGUGUGUUGGGUAGAGCCGCUUUGACUCCCUGUCUUAGUUGUGUGGCCUGUUGUAGAAAAGGCACCUGCGAAUUGUAUGGGGUGGAGACCUAGAGCGGAAGAGCACACUUC